UUUGUGGGCCUUCACUCUUUCUCUAGGAGCCUCCCUCCCUGACCGCUGAGGGAUGAAGUUGAAUCAGUGCAUCUCCACCUUCCACACCUAGAAGAAAGAAUAUAGAAGAGAAUUUUGGCUUCAGAGGACAGGACUGGCUUUGUCUUCUCCAGGGCUGCAAGCUUCAGUUCCCAGCAAAGUGCGUUGAAUGUAG